rnacentral:rRNA from 2 species
GGAUCUCUUGGUUCUGGCAUCGAUGAAGAACGCAGCGAAAUGCGAUAAGUAGUGUGAAUUGCAGAAUUCAGUGAAUCAUCGAAUCUUUGAACGCACAUUGCGCCCCUUGGUAUUCCAUGGGGCAUGCCUGUUCGAGCGUCAUUUGUACCUUCAAGCU